AGUUCAGUGGAGCCAGCAGAGAAUAAAAAGAGGAAGAAAAAGAAGAAGUAGAAGAGGGAGAGAAUCAAAGGGGGGAGCAAGAGAGAGACAACCACUUGAUACUCCUCAGCAUCAUCGUUGCUUUUGAGGCACAACGGAAGGGCCCUACAAGUUUCUCUUUAGAUGGCCAUCUUGAUUCCCAUUUCCAGUAGAAUCACAGAAAUCCUUCGCCAUGGUUAAAGAAUAAUUUGUCUUGAAAAAUGUGCAUGCUCUGAGAUUUUUGACCUUUUGACUGAGAAUUAAAGCUGAAGGGGGCCUGAAUUCAAUUCUUUACCUGUCUGUUGACUCCUCUUCAUCUGUUCAACACCUUUAAUUACACUGUGGGCCUAACGCAGAGGCGGCCCAAACUGUCAAAACGGGCUAAAGCUCUUUACCGUGGGCUUGACAAAUUCAGUACGGGUACGGAUACGUGUCGGGAUACAAAAACCGCUUCCAGAACUUCAUUCGCUAUCUACGUGAAAUGGGUGACGAGGUUCAAUUUUAUCCCUUUCUUCUAUUUUAGCUUCUAUACAUGCAUU